ACGGGAGGCAGCGGUGAGGAAUAUUGGUCAAUGGGCGGAAGCCUGAACCAGCCAAGUCGCGUGAAGGAUGAAGGUAUUAUGUAUUAUAAACUUCUUUAGACGUAGAGAAAUAAGCCCCUCGUGAGGGGUGAUGCUAGUAUACGUAGAAUAAGGAUCGGCUAACUCCGUGCCAGCAGCCGCGGUAAUACGGAGGAUCCGAGCGUUAUCCGGAUUUAUUGGGUUUGAAGGGUGCGCAGGCGGCCCUGUAAGUCAGCGGUAAAAGCGUGGAGCUCAACUCCAUCCCGCCGUUGAUACUGCAGGGCUUGAUUGCGGUCGAGGUUGGCGGAAUUCGCCGUGUAGCGGUGAAAUGCAUAGAUAUGGCGAAGAACUCCGAUUGCGUAGGCAGCUGACCAGGCCGUAAAUGACGCUCAUGCACGAAAGUGCGGGGAUCGAACAGGAUUAGAUACCCUGGUA
rnacentral:rRNA from 1 species